rnacentral:rRNA from 1 species
UACGUAGGCAGCGAGCGUUGUUCGGAAUUACUGGGCGUAAAGAGUGUGUAGGCGGUGCUCUAAGUUCGGUGUGAAAUCUCCUGGCUCAACUGGGAGCUUGCAGGCGAAACUGCCGUGCUGGAGUGUGGGAGAGGUGCGUGGAAUUCCUGGUGUAGCGGUGAAAUGCGUAGAUAUCAGGAGGAACACCUGUGGCGAAAGCGGCGCACUGGACCACAACUGACGCUGAGGCGCGAAAGCUAGGGGAGCAAACAGG